rnacentral:rRNA from 1 species
UGGGGAAUAUUGGACAAUGGGCGAAAGCCUGAUCCAGCCAUGCCGCGUGUGUGAAGAAGGCCUUUUGGUUGUAAAGCACUUUAAGCGAGGAGGAGGCUACCGAGAUUAAUACUCUUGGAUAGUGGACGUUACUCGCAGAAUAAGCACCGGCUAACUCUGUGCCAGCAGCCGCGGUAAUACAGAGGGUGCGAGCGUUAAUCGGAUUUACUGGGCGUAAAGCGUGCGUAGGCGGCUUUUUAAGUCGGAUGUGAAAUCCCUGAGCUUAACUUAGGAAUUGCAUUCGAUACUGGGAAGCUAGAGUAUGGGAGAGGAUGGUAGAAUUCCAGGUGUAGCGGUGAAAUGCGUAGAGAUCUGGAGGAAUACCGAUGGCGAAGGCAGCCAUCUGGCCUAAUACUGACGCUGAGGUACGAAAGCAUGGGGAGCAAACAGGAUUAGAUACCCUGGUAGUCCAUGCCGUAAACGAUGUCUACUAGCCGUUGGGGCCUUUGAGGCUUUAGUGGCGCAGCUAACGCGAUAAGUAGACCGCCUGGGGAGUACGGUCGCAAAGACUAAAAACCUUAAAGGGAAUUUGACGGGGGUCAUAGCUGUUUCCU